rnacentral:lncRNA from 1 species
GCUCAUCAAAGGCCAUCUCGACCACCCCAUCAUCUCCUUCAUUGCACUCAAAUUCUCCCAAUUUGAUCUCCAUCCACCCAUCCUUUCUCCUCCAAGGAAACACAGGCACAUGUCCCGUUCUACCAAUAGCCCCUGGUCUUUCAAGGUACACAUUUUCAGUCUUCAUUUCUGUCCCACCAUAAAUUACCUUUGUUUUUCCUGGCACAGCAAGUCCACUGACAUACCCAGUAGUUCGAAAGACAAGAUACGCCACAUAUGUACUCUUUGGUGACAGUUUUACAGCUGCUAUUCUGCCUCGGAUCUCAAGCCACCAUACUUGUCUAAGUAUGCACACCUCCGGAAACCUGCAUAAAGGGCGACGUAUAUGAAUGUCACGUACACCAUUGCAUGCAAUGUUUGCUCCUGUUAAGGGUAACCAUGGGUGAUUUUAAGAAGGGCUUAUGUGGGUCCUAGCUAUGACCCACCUAAAAAUUUUAAAUUAUUUAUAGUUAUUGUAGAAAAAAAAAUUAAGACCAACCUUUAAAAUAAUUUAGGACCUAUCUUUUGUUGCUAGAAAGUUAUAUAUAAUAAAGAAAAGUUUCACUCCUAGUUCAUUUGGUAAGAUGUCUUUGUUUUGUAAUAUGAAGAUCUGGGUUCUAUCCUCGUUAGAUGAGUGCUAAUUUUAACUUACUCAAAUGUUUUUUAAUAAUUUUAUAUAACCGUGAUUAGUGAUUUAUACUUUCAUUGUUGCCAUCAUUUUCUCCUAACAAAAAUCUUAAUUUUCAUUUGUAAACUUGUAAUCAACCCACAUGUUAGAUAUUAACUUUCCAUAAAAGUCAACAGAAAAUUAUGUAUUUUUGUUUAGCUUUCAAGAAAUGAAUCGAAUGAGAUAAUACAUAUAUUUUUCUUGAGGAUAUUGAAUGUAUUUAAAUUGGUUAUUUCAUGAAGAACAAGUCAUCUCGGAAUAAACUUAUUAUUUCUAUUUAAAAUUUGGCAAUUUUAAUAUAGUCUUUUUGUAACUUAAAGGACAUCUUAAUUGCUUUUGCACAAGACCUUGAAUCUACUAGCACCAGCUAUGGGUAUACAACCGAUCGUCACAAGUAUUGUUAUCUUUUUUAUUUUUAUCGGCUUAAAUUAAUAAUUAGGAACCAUGUUCAUUUUUUUUUUCUAGAUUCGCGAACUUAUAACAUACCAGUUGAGCAUAAAGAGAGAAAGAAAGAGACCUUGAUUCAGGUAUAUGCCCCCACUCCCAGUAUCGAGUGUCAUCUUUCCAUGCAAUUGAUAACCCUCUGGCUCCCAACAUAUAGCACUUUUUCCCGCUCUCUUUAUCUAGCUGGAAGCUCUGCUUAUGGAAAUAUGUGGCCAAAGACUAAUUUUAGCAGAUGUUUGUUAAAAGUUUAAUCGUGAAACUAUACUUUUCUCAGGAAGAAAGUUAUCAUUGGAUUUGAACAGUGAUAUCCAUGUUAUAAAAAUAUCUAAUUCUAGGACUAUACUUCAUAUAAGUCACCUAACUCCCAACAAAGUUUUCAACAGUUCAUGAGUACUGGACUUUGGGGAAAAAUUCAUACAACUGGGAACAUAGAUCGAAAAGGAUAUAUAGGCGUAUCUAACAAUGAAAAAGAAAGUGGAUCUUAAGGACGAUCGAUUUACCA